rnacentral:tRNA from 1 species
GGGCAACACCCUUUUAGCUCAAUGGUUGAGCGUUGGCUUUGAGAGCCACAGGUCGGUGGUUCGAACCCACCAAGGCACCG